rnacentral:SRP_RNA from 1 species
UCGUGCUAGAUGGGGAGGUAGCGGCGCCUUGUAACCCGCAAUCCGCUAUAGCGGGAUCGAAGCCUAACAGAGGGCUAGCUUUGUGGGGUCUGCCUAGGGCAAGUAGUGAGGAAGAUCGGGUCCUACGCAACAUAAACUUAUGAACCCCGUCAGAUCCGGAAGGAAGCAGCGGUAAGUAAGCCCUGUGUGUGCCGUAGGUAAGCCUGGUAUGAGCCAACUACCUUAGUAACGCUCGGAAGGUUUAGUUCGAAGUUAGGUGCACGG